ensembl:snoRNA
GCAUGGUAAUUGAUUUACGGCAAGCCCUUCUCUUUGGCUCUCAUAGGGUACCCAUGACAGGGUAAACAGCAGCCUUGAACCAUUGCCUGGCUUCCUUACCUAUGGGUUAUGAGAAUUGAUAAAGGUUGCACAAUG